UGGGACCCACCUUAUUAUUUUUAUACACCUAUCUUGGUUCCAGUCUCUCUUUCCCUCUAAUAUCCGAAACCAACACUCUCUCUCUCUAACUCUCAGGAACUCACACUCUCUCUAAGCUCCGAGAGCUUCUCUCUAACUUUCACCUCACUUCCUACACAAAUCAAACCCCAAAAACCAUAUAUUUGGAUUCCUUGAGACCUAACGAACUCAAUGGUACCCUUGCAUGCGCCAUCAGAGCACUGUGCACUUUUCUGCCAUUGAAGCUGAGAGCUUCAAAGCUCUAAAACUCGAACCCAGAACCCGGUUCCGACAACGAACUCCGGCGAGUUUGUUGCUGUGGAUUGCGCGGAUCCCUUCGAACCUAAACCCAGGGACACUUAUCGCAACGUUUCUGUCUUCGCUAGUGGCGCAGCUUUUGACGGAGUAUCUGACUUAGGAUGAAGGCACAUAACCCCGGCAUCAAGGCACUUCCGCAGUGGCAUCUUCGAGUCCUCACGGGGUAGGACCCACUCCUUUGUUCAUUCAAUCUUAUCUUAGUUCUUGUUAGUGACUAGGUUUAGUUAUAUGCUCUGAACACGUUCCUAAAUUGUUAAUUUAUUGUUUUUAGAUUCAUAA